GUGCAGCAAAGGAACGGGAUUCAAAUUGUAUUUAAAGGCCUCCCUCUGUCCUUGCAAAGCCACUGUUUCUCGAGCUUCAGAUCAGAGAGAGCUGGCUGCUCCUGCUGCUCCUGCUGCUGCUAACCUGAGAUGUUGCUGUGUUGGAGUCUCUGCUCUUUGCAGAGGUUUGCUGUGCCUGCCAGUGCUUUCCCUUUGGAUUUACUGCCUUAGUUUUUCCUGACCGGAUGUAUUAAUUAUUAUUUUUCCUGGUGGGAUUUUUUUCUCCUGUCCUAGAGCUGGGCUGUUUCUUGCUUUUUUAAAGCAGUGUGCCUGCCUCCCAGCCUGCUUGCCUGCCUGCCUGGCUGCUGAUGUGAGUGUGUGCCCAGCUAUGCAGCCUCUGGCCAAUUUUUAGUUCUUACUUACUUUGUUUUUCUAUUAACUUUGAAAUUUAAAACUGUGCCUGGCUUUCCUCCUGCUGCCUGCUGCCCAGUCACCUCACCAUAGUCAGAGAGAGGCUUUUUCUCUCUCUGAUUUAAAUUUUCUUUGAGAUCUCUCUCUCUCUCUCUCUCUCUUUAAAUUUGCAUUGAUUAAUUUCUGGGGGUUUGGGGGUCCUCCUGGCCCCCAUGCAUCUGCCCUCCUGUGAGCGAGUGGGUGCUGUUCUGCUCCUUUGUUGCUUGGCCCAGCAGCCCCUGGCUAGCCCCCUGUCCUAUUCAGCUUGACUUCUAGAAAAUGGAGAGUGGCACAACACAAACAGGAAAGGAGUCCUCCUUUAUAAGAGGUCUGAACAAAACAGCACUGCUGAAUAUUCCGCCUUCACUGGAUAACAGUUUCUGCUAAAAAAAAAGAAGAAGAAGAAGCAGCUUUAUUAUCAUCUCUCAAGGAUCCAGCCCAAAGCAAAGUAUACCUCUUGUCCUUGCUCCAGUGCGUACUAAUUUGCAAUUCAGCAUAAUUGAAAAAAAUGCCAGUGAUUGAUAUGCCCUGUGUUCCCAAGCUCAUGUCUAGUAUCUCCAUUUCUUAAAACUUUCAAAUACGGGACCCUUGACAGAUGUAAGCUGCAACAGAUCUCUCAGAACUUUGUCAUACUAUAUUUUAGAAUCUACAUUCAAGUCCAGAGCGGAGGGCUGGUCUACCCUAUGGCCCCCAAUUGGUUUAUCAUCUCUUCCCAAGAAAAAACACCAUUUUGAGGCCCAUUUCUCCAGCUCUCACUGGAAAAAUGGCCUCAAAAUGGUGCUUGAAUCACCCAAAUCAAUUUAGGUUGAACUGGGGGUGAUUCUCUUUGACCCUGAAUUGGGCUCUUUAUUUUGAAGGUGACUUGAUUUGAGGUCACACACACACACCCCGAUUUGACCCAAAUCACCCCUGAUUAAACCCGAAGUCGUAUCAAAUUGCACAUCUCUGCUUCAUACACAUGAAUACAGCAAGCAUUAUUUGUUGGCCUGUGACCAAAUGUGGCUUCUAUAAGCCGUGGUCCUUGAUGGCAUCUCUGAGAAUCCAGACAAAAUUGUCUCUUAAAAUCUAGCUAAAGUUUUAUGCCUCUGCAUGUUUGUGCAUUAUUUAUUAUUAGGAUUUUAUGAUUUUUUUUAUCACUGAAUAUGUCUCUCUUUUAUGAGGUACAAAAAAAUCACAAGCUUGCCAGUUCACUGGGAGUAAAAUUGAGGUCAUAAACCACCAAAAUCGCUCAUCUGGCUUCCCUCACCCCUUGCAGAAGGUGGCUAUCCCUAGAUGCCAACCAAAUUGCUGUCUUUACAUUGCUUCUUAUUAAAAAUGCCCCACUGAGUUCAUUGGGGUUGUUCUGAAGUAAGGGGCUUGAGUCAUGAACAAAUAAUAUUAGUGCCAUGCUUGAAUGGAGACGAUUCUGAACCCUAGAUGAUGGAUCUGUUUGAACUACUUGUGUUAUUUUAAAACAUUAUUAAAGUCAUUUCUCACUUUCGUUGUUUUUUAAAAGAAGGAAGGUGGCCUGUGUCAACAGUCUCAUUGAAACAAAAGAUCUUCUCUGUUGUCAUUAUUGCUUCUGCUUUGGCCUCCCUCUCCUUCCAUUCUUGUUCUCAUUUAUACCGCAGUAUGUGAACGCGUAAGUUUAUGUUUGUGUCUUCCCAGGAGGGUGUCGAUAUAAAAUAAUAGAGGAAAACACUUACUCAGGUGGAGGCAUGGA